CGAAAUGCGAUAAGUAAUGUGAAUUGCAGAAUUCAGUGAAUCAUCGAAUCUUUGAACGCACCUUGCGCUCCUUGGUAUUCCUUGGAGCAUGCCUGUUUGAGUAUCAUGAAAUCUUCAAAGUAAAUCUUUUGUUAACUCAAUUGGUUUCUACUUUGGUAUUGGAGGUCUUUGCAGCUUCACACCUGCUCCUCUUUGUUCAUUAGCUGGAUCUCAGUGUUAUGCUUGGUUCCACUCGGCGUGAUAAGUUAUCUCUCGCUGAGGACACUGUAAAAGGUGGCCAAGGUAAAUGCAGAUGAACCGCUUCUAAUAGUCCAUUGACUUGGACAAUACUUUUAUGAUCUGAUCUCAAAUCAGGUAGGACUACCCGCUGAACUUAAGC
rnacentral:misc_RNA from 1 species